GCCGGAAUCUUCUUCCUCACCUCGUCAGCAAUGACGAUUCAUGGUUUUAAAAGGGUUUUUGUCUUCAACUUCGACCGGGGCAGGAGGAGGAGGAGAACGAAGCAUCGAAAUCAUCAGAUCAGAUCGAACCUUUUCUCCAUCCAUUCAUCUCCCUCCAAUAGAAAUCGCAUGUGGAUUGAGGAGUGAUUGGAUUAUGUGUUUAGAAGUGCAGAAAACAAUGGGGUUUAAGCCAUUACUUUGGUAUUGUAAGCCUGUGGAGAAUGGGGUGUGGGCGAAAGUUGUGACAAAUGCAUUUGGUGUUUAUACGCCUUGUGGAAUUGAUACUUUGGUGAUUUCGUUUACGCAUUUAGUUCUUUUCAGUCUCUGCGUGUAUCGAAUAUGGAAAACGAUAAAGGAUGUUACGGUCAAGAGGUUGAUGCUGAGAUCGAAUUACUUCAAUUACUUUUUGGGGGUUUUAGCUGCUUAUUGUGUUGGGGAGCCAUUGUAUCGGUUGGUUACGGGCAUGUCAGUUUUGAAUGUUGAUGGACAAUCUGCACUGGCUCCAUAUGAGAUGUUUUCUCUUGCCAUUGAGGCUCUUGCGUGGUGCUCAAUGCUGGUUAUGCUUGUUCUAGAAACUAAAAUCUACAUCCGCGAAUUCCGUUGGUAUGUUCGAUUUGGAGUCAUUUAUGUGCUAGUAGGGGAUGUUGUUAUGCUUAAUCUUGUCCUCUCUGUGAAAGAAUACCAAAAUCCAUCUAUAUUAUAUGUCUACACCAGUCAAAUUGUUUGCCAGAUCUUAUUUGGAGUUCUAUCAGUUCUAUACCUUCCUAACGUGGAUCCAUAUCCGGGAUACACUCCGAUAAGGGAAGAGUUUGUUGAUAACACAGAGUAUGAAUCACUUCCUGAUGGAGAGCAGAUUUGUCCAGAGAGGCAUGUGAAUAUUAUUUCCAAUAUACUCUUCUCGUGGAUGACACCCCUCAUGCAGAAAGGUUAUAGCAGACCCAUAACUGAGAAGGAUGUGUGGAGAUUAGAUACAUGGGACCAGACUGAGACACUGAAUGCCAAAUUCCAGAGCUGCUGGCUUAAGGAAUCCCAAAAACCCAGGCCAUGGUUGUUGAGAGCUCUAAAUAGUAGUCUUGGAGGAAGGUUCUGGUUGGGAGGUUUCUUUAAGAUUGGAAAUGAUCUUUCUCAAUUUGUGGGGCCCGUCAUGCUUAAUCUCCUCUUACAGUCUAUGCAAGCAGGGGAGCCAGCUAGGAUUGGCUACAUCUAUGCUUUCUUAAUUUUUGUCGGAGUGGUCCUAGGGGUGCUUUCUGAAGCUCAAUAUUUCCAGAAUGUCAUGCGUGUGGGUUAUCGCCUAAGAGCAACAUUGGUUGCUGCUGUGUUUCGCAAAUCAUUGAGAUUAACACAUGAAGGGCGCAGGAAGUUCCCUUCUGGAAAAAUUACCAACUUGAUGACCACAGAUGCCGAAGCUCUUCAGCAAAUAUGCCAACAGCUAAACAGUUUAUGGUCAGCGCCAUUCCGUAUCAUCAUUUCCAUGGUUCUUCUGUACAAUGAACUUGGUGUUGCUUCGCUGUUAGGUUCUUUGAUGCUGGUCUUGAUGUUUCCUUUACAGGCCUUUGUGGUAAGCAAAAUGCAAAAGUUGUCUAAGGAGGGUCUUCAACGUACUGACAAGAGAAUCGGUUUUAUGAGUGAAAUUUUGGCUGCAAUGGACACUGUCAAAUGCUAUGCAUGGGAGGGGAGCUUCCAAUCUAAAAUUCAAGGCGUCCGUGAUGAUGAGCUCUCGUGGUUCCGAAAAGCCCAACUACUAUCAGCGUGUAAUAUGUUCCUCUUGAACAGCAUUCCAGUUGUGGUUACUGUGAUCUCAUUUGGGAUGUUCACUUUGCUUGGUGGGGAUUUAACACCAGCGAGGGCAUUUACAUCACUUUCGCUGUUCGCAGUGUUAAGAUUCCCUUUAUUCAUGCUUCCUAAUUUGAUAACACAGGUUGUAAAUGCAAAUGUGUCGCUGAAACGUCUUGAGGAAUUAUUCUUAGCUGAAGAGAGACUUCUUAUGCCUAACCCACCACUUGAGCCAAGUCUUCCAGCUAUUUCAAUCAAGAAUGGCACCUUUUCCUGGGAUUCGAAGGCAGAGAAGCCCACAUUAUCAAAUAUCAAUUUAGAGAUACCUGUUGGUAGCCUGGUGGCUGUUGUUGGCAGUACCGGUGAAGGAAAAACGUCACUGAUAUCGGCGAUGCUUGGGGAACUACCUCCAGCUGCAGAUGUAGAUGCCGAGGUUGUUGUUCGAGGAACCGUUGCUUAUGUUCCACAGGUUUCAUGGAUCUACAAUUCAACAGUACGGGACAACAUAUUGUUUGGGUCUCCAUUCAUAGCUGCACGCUAUGAGAAAGCAAUAGAUGUGACUGCAUUGCAACAUGACUUUGAAGUACUCACUGGUGGUGACCUCACAGAGAUUGGAGAAAGAGGUGUGAAUAUUAGUGGUGGGCAAAAGCAAAGAGUCUCCAUGGCUAGGGCAGUCUACUCCAGUUCUGAUGUUUACAUAUUUGAUGACCCUUUAAGUGCUCUAGAUGCUCAUGUUGGUCGCCAGGUUUUUGAUAAAUGUAUCAAAGAAGAAUUGCAAGGCAGAACCAGAGUGCUUGUCACAAACCAACUCCAUUUUCUUCCCCAGGUGGACAGAAUUCUUCUGGUUCAUGAUGGUAUGGUGAAAGAGGAAGGAACAUUUGAGGAACUAACAAAUAAUGGGAUAUUGUUUCAAAGCCUAAUGGAAAAUGCGGGCAAGAUGGAGGAGCAUGUAGAAGAAAAGAAAGACCUUGAGAUACCUGAGGAAAAGGGUCCUCCAACCAAUGGUGAAGUGAAUGGGAUGCCAAAGAGUGUUAGUCAAACAACUAAAGGGGGAAAAGGCAAGACCGUGCUUGUCAAGCAAGAGGAACGAGAAACAGGUGUCGUCAGUUGGAAUGUUCUGAUGAGGUAUAAGAAUGCAUUAGGAGGCUUAUGGGUUGUUAUGAUCCUCUUUUCCUGCUAUGUGUCAACUGAAGUUCUCCGAAUAUUGAGUAGUACGUGGUUGAGUGCGUGGACUGAUAGGAGCACCGCCAAAACCCACGGCCCAGGCUUCUACAAUUUGGUUUAUGCUUUGCUCUCUUUUGGUCAGGUCCUAAUCAGCUUGACAAACUCUUAUUGGUUGAUCAUAUCAAGUCUUUACGCUGCCAAAAGAUUGCAUGAUGCGAUGCUACACUCUAUACUGCGAUCUCCAAUGUUAUUUUUCCACACUAAUCCAAUUGGGCGGGUAAUCAAUAGAUUCGCGAAGGAUCUGGGUGACAUAGAUCGAAAUGUUGCUAUAUACGUGAAUAUGUUUUUCACCCAAGGAUUUCAGCUCAUUUCUACAUUUGUGCUGAUAGGCAUCGUGAGCACCAUAUCCUUGUGGGCGAUAAUGCCACUCCUGAUCGUGUUUUAUUCAGCCUAUCUAUAUUAUCAGAGCACAUCACGUGAAGUAAAACGGUUAGAUUCCAUUUCAAGAUCUCCUGUCUAUGCACAAUUUGGAGAAGCUUUAAAUGGUCUAUCAACCAUUCGUGCAUACCAAGCCUAUGAUCGGAUGUCUAAAAUUAAUGGGAAAUCGAUGGACAAUAAUAUCAGAUACACCCUUGUAAACAUGAGCGCUAACCGCUGGCUUGGUAUCCGUUUGGAAACCGUGGGAGGCCUGAUGAUUUGGUUAACAGCAACUUUUGCUGUCAUGCAAAAUGAGCGGGCGGUGGACCAAGUGGCAUUUGCAUCUUCAAUGGGUCUUCUUCUUAGUUAUGCCUUAAAUAUAACAAACCUGUUGACAAGUGCUCUUAGAUUAGGAAGUCUGGCUGAGAACAGUCUAAAUGCUGUGGAAAGGGUAGGCACGUAUAUUGAUUUACCUUCAGAGGCUCCGGCUGUUAUUGAGAGCAACCGACCCCCACCAGGAUGGCCUUCUUCAGGAUCAAUCAAGUUUGAGGAUGUUGUCUUGAGGUACAGGGCUGAACUUCCUCCUGUCCUGCAUGGCUUGUUUUUCACAAUCUCUCCCAGCGAGAAGGUUGGAAUAGUUGGGAGAACUGGCGCUGGGAAAUCUAGUAUGCUCAAUGCUUUAUUUCGAAUAGUUGAAUUGGAAAGAGGAAGAAUCUUGAUUGAUGGUUAUGAUGUUGCGAAGUUUGGUCUAACAGAUCUGCGUAAAGUACUCGGAAUUAUUCCACAGUCUCCAGUUCUCUUCUCAGGAACUGUCCGAUUUAAUCUUGAUCCUUUUAAUGAGCACAAUGAUGCUAACCUUUGGGAGGCUUUAGAGAGAGCACAUCUGAAGGAUGUCAUUAGAAGAAACUCUUUAGGUCUUGAUGCUGAGGUUACAGAAUCGGGGGAAAAUUUCAGUGUAGGACAGAGGCAACUGUUGAGUCUUGCCCGUGCGCUUUUACGGAGAUCUAAGAUACUUGUUCUUGAUGAAGCAACAGCAGCUGUUGAUGUUAGAACUGAUGCUCUUAUCCAGAAAACUAUUAGAGAAGAAUUUAAAUCAUGUACCAUGCUCAUUAUUGCUCACCGACUGAAUACCAUAAUCGACUGCGAUCGUGUUCUCCUCCUUGAUGCUGGCCAGGUUUCAGAAUUUGAUACCCCAGAAGAACUUUUGUCAAAUGAUGAGAGCUCUUUCUCUAAGAUGGUCCAAAGUACAGGUGCUGCAAAUGCGGAAUACUUACGUAGCUUGGUCAUUAGUAGUAGAACAGGUAAAGAAGAGGCGAGAAGGCAAGAUGGGCAUAGAAGAUGGUUGGCUUCUUCUCAAUUUGCUGCUGCUGCCCAGUUGGCUCUUGGAGUUAGCCUCAGUUCUUCACUCAAUGAUCUGGAAGACUUGGAAAUUGAAGACGAUAACAAUAUCGUCAAGAGAACGAAGGACGCCGUCAUCACUUUGCAGGGAGUUUUGGAAGGAAAGCAUGAUAAAUCUAUUGAAGAGACGCUAGAUCAACACCAGGUUCCUAGAGAUAGAUGGUGGUCUGCUCUUUACAGAAUGGUCGAAGGGCUUUCCACGAUGAGCAAGUUGAGCCGCAACAAGCUUCAACAAUCAGAUUACGGGUUUGAGGACAGGCAGAUUAAUUGGGACCAUGUUGAGAUGUAAUAAAUAAGGCACUGAUUUUUUUUCUUCAAGAUCAGAUGGUUCAAUGGCUUUAUUCUUCAGUUCCCAAAUGAAGAGCGCACUACGUUUGAUCAUGGGAUUGUAAACUCUUUCUGAAUCUGAUAUGUUUUCUGUCUCGAAACUGUGGUGAGGCGGAUAACUUGCUUGUGAUUAAAUUUUGUGGGCUGAAAAGUGUGAAAGCUUGCACUUGUGUUGUAUUGCAAAUCCGAAUUUAGCUUGGUUAUACCCACAACAAAUCCGAAUUAAAAAAUUUCUAUUUACUCGUCCUUAGUUCAAAAAAGAAAAGACCUAUUUGGAUUAUCCACAGCAAAUCCGAAUUUAGCUUAUUUUAAUUAAAACUCAAGACAGAUGUUAAUUCGGUUUCAAUCUGGCGCACCCAAAUUAGACACCUACAUACGAGCUGCCUACUUUUGAAAUUCUUGAAAUCUGUGGCAUCCUUAAAGGUUGUCGGCCACUCGUUUUAGUGGUGAUGUGUCCCGACUCCCGCAUUCUCUAGAAUGAUCGGUCCCCGAUAUUCCUUUAUCAUCAUUUCACAAGUAAGUUUUUCAUAUAUAAAGUUGGACUAGUACCAGUGGCUUGUGUUAUAGAACAAGCAAAGAGGAAAAGCCACAGCAAUCAGAAGAGAAAAGAGGUUGAGUUUGCAAGUUGACUAUAUAUAUCAUGGCUGAAACCACCGGGAAGAGUUGUUGCGGAGACAAUAAAUGCGUCGAAGGUGCUACUUUCAGCACAACUGAAGUUAAAACCGAUGGUGUCAUCUGCAACUGUGGGGAAGGAUGGAGUUGUAUACUUACCAAAACUGAAGGUCCAGAUGCCGGUAAGGUUUUCCUUAAGUGCGGUGAAGGCUGUUCAUGUGAGAUUGGGUCCUCUACUACUGGGAAGUGCACUAUAACAAAAGGUAUGACCGGUGCUUCAUGCAAAUGUGGAGAAGGCUGGAGCUGUGAAAUCAUCAAGACUGAAGGCCCGAAUGUUGGUAAGGCCUUUGCCGAAUGCGGUGAUGGUGGCUGCGUCACAGUUGCUUAGGCUGAGUCGUAAACGGAAUCUAGCAUGUGUGUACUAAAUAAAGUUGUGAUGGAGUGAGCACUUAUAUUUUAUAUGAUUGAUGUAAUAGAGCUUGGGUGAAGUAUGUAUGGUUGUGUGGCUUUCUUUUGUAUCGAGUGUGCAAGCCUAAAAAUUAAUCUUUGCUGGCCGUAGUUGUUCUUCACUACCUCACUUUCAGUAAAAGUGAUACUUAAAUUUUUUUUUUUCA